GCCAACUUCUGGCUGUAUUUACUUAUUCACCAUUUAGGCCAUCUGACCUGUUAGCUACAUUUCUUGGUAAGCGGACGACUGAUAGCCAAAGACUGUUCUUGUAUCCCUACAUAAAGCCUCUUAGUGUGAUCAAAUCUACGAGUGAACCAGUGCUGGUGUAUAUAGCCAGUUAGCUCAUUUAGCCGGGGUUAUUUCUGGGAACAAAUACCUGCGUACAUCCCAGCCCCCCAGGACCGGAAUUGGCCACCCCCUAAACAAGUACAUCGCACCACAUAAUUGCUCGUCUGCUAAAAAGCGAGAUGUUCGUCGACGCGUUGAAUGGUUUCUUGAGAAUCGAUCGUCUUGUGUCGUCGUGAGGUUGGCGGUUUACUCCACCUCUGUCCGUGGCCUAUCCACGCGAGUAGCCGCUGUAAAAUGGCCCUUCCCGUUGCUCAAAGGUGAUUGGCUGAUUGAGUGGCAGUGUAGUAUAAUGGUUUAGCCUUUAGCGACUGGGCUUGUGACCCAAAGGUUGCAGGUAUGAGUCCCAGGUCGGACACUGCCGCUGUACCCUUGUGCAAGGUGCUUAACCUGAGUUGCUUCAGUGUAUAUCCAGCUGUGAAAAAUGGAUUCUAUGUAAAAAUGAGAAAGUUGUGUAAGUCGCUCUGGACAAGAGCGUCUGAUAAAUCACUGUGACGUGAUGCUUUCUGAGACCUUGUAUUUACAGAAAAUAGGUCUCUGAAGACAGCCGUCACAUUGUAUAUGUUAAACACAUCAAAAACAGCAAAUUGCGUCAUAAUUAUUCUGAUUAUGUGAAUUAUGUCAUAUUAAUUUUGCGCUAUAUAAUAAACCAAUUCCUGUAUAGAAUACCAACUGCUUUCUGGAUAGCACAGCAGGCAAAAUAAAUGAUACAAUAUUACCGAUAUAAAGAGAGCUAUAAAGUUUCAUUAUUGCAUCAAAGUCACAUGACUGUUUUAGGAAUGGCUGUUGACCAAAGCAGAAGGCUGUGCUGCACAGAGCUCUUAACUGUGCACUGCCCUUACCACAGGGUGAGUGCAUCCUGCGCUACUGUAAAAUAAAAUCAUUUAACGACCGUCAUAUUUUCCAUUUGCGUUUCUUAAACAUUUUAUUUUGGCUAUUUGCUUGGACCAUAAGAGAAUGUGUGCACUAUUAUUAUUAUUAUUAUUGUUGUUCUUAUUAAUACUGAUACUACUAAUAAUAAUCCAUGCCUAUACAGUAUGUGAUACUCAAUAUCAUUCCAUCUAUGUGCAAUUUUUAUAGCUACAAUUUAAAAGGAGUCUUUCAAAACGUUCUGCUUUUUACAGCUCGAGCAUCGGCAUCCCUUGAUAUCAGAGCCUGUCGGGUAUCGUGCUGUUCUUUGAGAAAAUAUGAAGUUUAAUGCAUUGCAGUGCUGUCUAUCUGAAACGUGUGCUUGGUGUGCAGCUUCAGUCCGAGGUUUUGAUGUUCAGCUGUGGCGUUAGUCGCGAAUCCGUUCUUUAAACUCUUAAUCUCUUAAAACUCCUUCGUUAGGCAUUUCAUAAAACAAUAAAUUAACUGUUAUUUUCAAACUGUACUGCUUGACCCAUUUCCUAUACUGUAGCUACAUAAUGGAGAGUGGUUUUAUGUUGCUGUGGUGUAAUGAAAUCAUAAAUAAACAUGACUUUCUACCUUG